rnacentral:rRNA from 1 species
AUUGAACGCUGGCGGCAUGCCUUACACAUGCAAGUCGAACGGUAACAGGUCUUCGGAUGCUGACGAGUGGCGAACGGGUGAGUAAUACAUCGGAACGUGCCCGAUCGUGGGGGAUAACGAGGCGAAAGCUUUGCUAACACCGCAUACGAUCUACGGAUGAAAGCGGGGGAUCUUCGGACCUCGCGCGGACGGAGCGGCCGAUGGCAGAUUAGGUAGUUGGUGGGAUAAAAGCUUACCAAGCCGACGAUCUGUAGCUGGUCUGAGAGGAUGAUCAGCCACACUGGGACUGAGACACGGCCCAGACUCCUACGGGAGGCAGCAGUGGGGAAUUUUGGACAAUGGGCGAAAGCCUGAUCCAGCCAUGCCGCGUGCAGGAUGAAGGCCUUCGGGUUGUAAACUGCUUUUGUACGGAACGAAAAGCCUCUUUCUAAUAAAGAGGGGUCAUGACGGUACCGUAAGAAUAAGCACCGGCUAACUACGUG